AGUGAACGCUGGCGGUAGGCCUAAUACAUGCAAGUCGAACGGCAGCACAGUAAGCGCUUGCCCCUACGGGUGGCGAGUGGCGGACGGGUGAGGCAUACAUCGGAAUCUACUUUUUCGUGGGGGAUAACGUAGGGAAACUUACGCUACUACCGCAUACGACCUACGGGUGAAAGCAGGGGAUCUUCGGACCUUUCGCGAUUGAUUGAGCCGAUGUCGGAUUAGCUAGUUGGCGGGGUAAAGGCACACCAAGGCGACGAUACGUAGCUGGUCUGAGAGGAUGAUCAGCCACACUGGAACUGAGACACGGUCCAGACUCCUACGGGAGGCAGCAGUGGGGAAUAUUGGACAAUGGGCGCAAGCCUGAUCCAGCCAUACCGCGUGAGUGAAGAAGGCCUUCGGGUUGUAAAGCCCUUUUGUUGGGAAAGAAAAGCAGCGGAUUAAAACCCCGCUGUUCUGACGGUACCCAAAGAAUAAGCACCGGCUAACUUCGUG
rnacentral:rRNA from 1 species